GCCCCUGGCGUGGGGUGUCGAGCCGCCGCACAGGCGCCGGUGAACACGCCCCCUCCAAGGGGCGUACA
rnacentral:snoRNA from 24 species